rnacentral:rRNA from 1 species
UACGAAGGGGGCUAGCGUUGUUCGGAAUUACUGGGCGUAAAGCGUAUGUAGGCGGAUCGUUAAGUCGGGGGUGAAAUCCCGAGGCUCAACCUCGGAACUGCCUUCGAUACUGGCGAUCUUCGAGUCCGGGAGAGGUGAGUGGAACUCCGAGUGUAGAGGUGAAAUUCGUAGAUAUUCGGAAGAACACCAGUGGCGAAGGCGGCUCACUAGCCCGGUACUGACGCUGAAAUACGAAAGCGUGGGGAGCAAACAGG